UGACCCCUAAACCUCCAUAUGACCCCCAAACCUCCAUAUGACCCCUAACCUCCAUAUGACCCCUAACCCCCAUAUGACCGCUAACCUCCAUAUGACCCCUAACCUCCAUAUGACCCCUAACCUCCAUAUGACCCCUAACCUCCAUAUGACCCCUAACCUCCAUAUGACCCUGUUAUCAAUGUUAGUAGUGAUGAUUAAUCUAAAGCUGACCAGGUUUCAAGAGAAAAACUUCUGCCAACAAACUCUGGGCUUUGGCUGAGUUCAGUUCUGUUCAGUCCAGUGUGGCUUCAGUACAGCUGCCCUGUGUAGGGGGGAGGGGGACAGAGGUGUCUAGUCCCUAUGGUGGAGGGAGGAUGGAGGGCAGAGGGGACAGAGGUGUGUCUAGUCCCUACGGUGGAGGGAGGAUGGAGGGCAGAGGGGACAGAGGUGUGUCUAGUCCCUACGGUGGAGGGAGGAUGGAGGGCAGAGGGGACAGAGGGGUGUCUAGUCCCUACGGUGGAGGGAGGAUGGAGGGCAGAGGGAACAGAGGUGUGUCUAGUCCCUACGGUGGAGGGAGGAUGGAGGGCAGAGGGAACAGAGGUGUGUCUAGUCCCUACAGUGGAGGGAGGAUGGGAUGGAGGGCAGAGAGAACAGAGGUGUGUCUAGUCCCUACAGUGGAGGGAGGAUGAAGGGCAGAGGGAACAGAGGUGUGUCUAGUCCCUACGGUGGAGGGAGGAUGGAGGGCAGAGGGGACAGAGGUGUGUCUAGUCCCUACAGUGGAGGGAGGAUGGAGGGCAGAGGGAACAGAGGUGUGUCUAGUCCCUACGGUGGAGGGAGGAUGGGAUGGAGGGCAGAGGGGACAGAGGUGUGUCUAGUCCCUACGGUGGAGGGAGGAUGGGAUGGAGGGCAGAGGGGACAGAGGUGUGUCUAGUCCCUACGGUGGAGGGAGGAUGGAGGGCAGAGGGGACAGAGGUGUGUCUAGUCCCUACGGUGGAGGGAGGAUGGAGGGCAGAGGGAACAGAGGUGUGUCUAGUCCCUACAGUGGAGGGAGGAUGGAGGGCAGAGGGGACAGAGGUGUGUCUAGUCCCUACGGUGGAGGGAGGAUGGAGGGCAGAGGGAACAGAGGAGUGUCUAGUCCCUACAGUGGAAGGAGGAUGGGAUGGAGGGCAGAAGCCGGGAAGUGGUUCCUCCCCGUCAGGCUUUCCCUUCCCAGGCGUCGUCUCUCUGUUUAGCUGCCAGACGCUUCUGCUCUGAAAGACAGACAGACAGGUUGAUAAGAGAGUAAAUCAAUACUACUACUAGCUGUCAAUACAAUCAUAAAGACAAAGACUAGUUCCACUUGAAAGGAGCAACAUGUAAUAUAUCAGCCUUCAUUUCUUCAGGGUUUUGUGAAAGACACUAAGAGAAGUCCUGAAAGGCCCAGUACUGCCUCUGACCGUAUCACUGUCCAGAACACAUCUGUAGAAAGGACAUGAAGAAACGCAUUGCUAAUGUUUUU
ensembl:lncRNA